GCUGGGCAUAGUGGCAUGUGCUUGUAGUCAUAGCUACUUGGUAGGCUGAGGCAGGAGGAUCACUUGAGCCCAGGAGUUCAAGGCCAGCCUGGGCAACAUAGCGAGACCCAUCUCAA
rnacentral:sRNA from 1 species